GAUGAACGCUAGCUACAGGCUUAACACAUGCAAGUCGAGGGGUAACGAGAGGAAAGCUUGCUUUCCUUGUCGACGACCGGCGCACGGGUGAGUAACGCGUAUCCAACCUGCCCCCAACUAGGGAAUAACCUUGCGAAAGUAAGACUAAUACCCUAUAAUUUCCUCAGAUGACAUCUGACGAGGAAUAAAGAUUUAUCGGUUGUGGAUGGGGAUGCGUCUGAUUAGCUUGUUGGCGGGGUAACGGCCCACCAAGGCAACGAUCAGUAGGGGUUCUGAGAGGAAGGCCCCCCACAUUGGGACUGAGACACGGUUCAACCUCUGACGGGGGGCAGCAUUGAGGAAUAUUGGUCAAUGGGCGGAAGCCUGAACCAGCCAAGUAGCGUGCAGGAUGACGGCCCUAUGGGUUGUAAACUGCUUUUCUACAGGAAUAAAGUUAGCCACGUGUGGUUAUUUGUAGGUACUGUAUGAAUAAGGACCGGCUAAUUCCGUGCCAGCCGCCGCCGUAA
rnacentral:rRNA from 1 species